UACGGAGGGGGCCAGCGUUGUUCGGAAUUACUGGGCGUAAAGCGCACGUAGGCGGCUUUGCAAGUUAGAGGUGAAAGCCCGGGGCUCAACUCCGGAAUUGCCUUUAAAACUGCAUCGCUAGAAUUGUGGAGAGGUAAGUGGAAUUCCGAGUGUAGAGGUGAAAUUCGUAGAUAUUCGGAAGAACACCAGUGGCGAAGGCGACUUACUGGACACAUAUUGACGCUGAGGUGCGAAAGCGUGGGGAGCAAACAGG
rnacentral:rRNA from 1 species